CAAUAGCGUAUAUUAAAGUUGUUGCAGUUAAAAAGCUCGUAGUUGGAUUUGUGGCUGUCACGGGCGGCCUAUCACUUAGUGUUAGUGCUUGCCUGUGUCGCCAUCCUUGGGUGGAGCCCGUGUGGCAUUAGGUUGUCGUGCGGGGGAUGCUCAUCGUUUACUGUGAGAAAAUUAGAGUGUUCAAAGCAGGCUUAUGCCGUUGAAUAUGUUAGCAUGGAAUAAUAAGAUAGGACCUCGGUACUAUUUUGUUGGUUUGCGCACCGAGGUAAUGAUUAAUAGGGACAGUUGGGGGUAUUCGUAUUUCAUUGUCAGAGGUGAAAUUCUUGGAUUUCUGAAAGACGAACUACUGCGAAAGCAUUUACCAAGGAUGUUUUCAUUAA
rnacentral:rRNA from 1 species